CCCCUCCCGGGUCCCUGGCUCUUCCCUGGCUGGCCGCGGCGACGUCUGUGUGCGUGCUUGUGCGUGUUUUAUUUGCGCAGGGUUCGGUAAAACGGGGUUUGGGUUGCAUUUCGCUCCCCACAGACCCAGAGCCGAAUUUCUGAGGUAUCCGGGCUCUGGUGGACUGAGGGGGGCGACGCGCCCCGCGCCUGGCAUCCUCUGAGAGCUUAUCCGAGGGCCGGGAGCUGUGUCCGCGGGCGCCGCGCGGCCGCCCCCAGUCCGCGCCCCAAGACCACGCGGUUGCGUGGGCGGCAGCCGUGAGGGUGGCUGCGCGCGUGGGAGCGCCGGGAGCAUGCGUGUGCGGGUGCGUGCGGCUGGAGGGCGCGCGCCCGAGCGCUGCCGCGGGGUUCCCGGGGCGGCGGGAGGCGGCCAAGCCAGUGGCUCCUCGGAAUGGCGUGGUCGCCACGAAUCAGCAAGUGAUGAUUGAGGGUCUACAUGAGAUCCAAAGAAAAAAGACACGUGCCUAAUUUAUAAGCCUAAUCGAAAUGAACACAGAUACACAACCAACUGUGAUGCUGGCUCAAGAGGUCUCCAGGUGAGGUACAGGUGGAACGGGACUUCAGGGGAGAGAGAUUUCAUCCAGAGAGAGGGAAUUAGGGAGGAAGGCCACAUAUGAAAACAUUCUCUAACCUACGGCCAAUUUGUGCUCAGGGAUACUGGCAGGGAUUAGCCUACAGCCUGGGGGAUGUGAGGAAGAAGACCAGACAGUCUGGGAAAAUGGUAGAGGCUGAGCAGUCCAAUGCAUGGUGUGAAAAAGGGUCGAGCUAACUUGGCCUUGGUUGCAGCUAAUUUGGCCUUGGUGCUAGAAUAGGUCACUGGGGUUCAGGGUGCCAGUGACAAAGUCAAGUGUGGGUCAGUUCCGUGGUUCUGUGCCAACAGCCCAUUCUCAAGAGGACGAGAAUCACAGCUGAGGAUAAAUGGAACAUGAUCGAGCCCUCAAAGGGAAGGGCUUGGGAAGAGCUGGUUGAAAAUCUCAGACCAGUAGGCUGGUGUUCGGG
rnacentral:lncRNA from 1 species